AAAUUCGAGUCUAUAAGGAAAGA
rnacentral:miRNA from 1 species